GCCAGUAGUCAUAUGCUUGUCUCAAAAAUUAACACAUGCAUGUCUAAGUAUAAAUAGUAUACAGUGAAACUGCGAAUGGCUCAUUAAAUCAGUUAUAGUUUGUUUGAUGGUACCUGCUACUCGGAUAACCGUAGUAAUUCUAGAGCUAAUACAUGCAUCAACUCCCAACUGCUUCGGCGGACGGGAUGUAUUUAUUAGAUGGAAACCAAUACCGAGUUUUCUCGGUUUUUGUGGUGAAUCAUAGUAACUGUGCGAAUCGACUUCGGUCGAUGGUUCAUUCAAGUUUCUGCCCUAUCAGCUUCGGAUGGUAGGGUAUUGGCCUACCAUGGCUUUAACGGGUAACGGAGAAUUGGGGUUCGAUUCCGGAGAGGGAGCCUGAGAAACGGC
rnacentral:rRNA from 13 species